AAAUUGAAGAGUUUGAUCAUGGCUCAGAUUGAACGCUGGCGGCAGGCCUAACACAUGCAAGUCGAACGGUAACAGGAAGCAGCUUGCUGCUUCGCUGACGAGUGGCGGACGGGUGAGUAAUGUCUGGGAAACUGCCUGAUGGAGGGGAUAACUACUGGAAACGGUAGCUAAUACCGCAUAAUGUCGCAAGACCAAAGAGGGGGACCACUGCCUGAUGGAGGGGGAUAACUACUGGAAACGGUAGCUAAUACCGCAUAACGUCGCAAGACCAAAGAGGGGGACCCUCGGGCCUCUUGCCAUCGGAUGUGCCCAGAUGGGAUUAGCUUGUUGGUGGGGUAACGGCUCACCAAGGCGACGAUCCCUAGCUGGUCUGAGAGGAUGACCAGCCACACUGGAACUGAGACACGGUCCAGACUCCUACGGGAGGCAGCAGUGGGGAAUAUUGCACAAUGGGCGCAAGCCUGAUGCAGCCAUGCCGCGUGUAUGAAGAAGGCCUUCGGGUUGUAAAGUACUUUCAGCGGGGAGGAAGGGAGUAAAGUUAAUACCUUUGCUCAUUGACGUUACCCGCAGAAGAAGCACCGGCUAACUCCGUGCCAGCAGCCGCGGUAAUACGGAGGGUGCAAGCGUUAAUCGGAAUUACUGGGCGUAAAGCGCACGCAGGCGGUUUGUUAAGUCAGAUGUGAAAUCCCCGGGCUCAACCUGGGAACUGCAUCUGAUACUGGCAAGCUUGAGUCUCGUAGAGGGGGGUAGAAUUCCAGGUGUAGCGGUGAAAUGCGUAGAGAUCUGGAGGAAUACCGGUGGCGAAGGCGGCCCCCUGGACGAAGACUGACGCUCAGGUGCGAAAGCGUGGGGAGCAAACAGGAUUAGAUACCCUGGUAGUCCACGCCGUAAACGAUGUCGACUUGGAGGUUGUGCCCUUGAGGCGUGGCUUCCGGAGCUAACGCGUUAAGUCGACCGCCUGGGGAGUACGGCCGCAAGGUUAAAACUCAAAUGAAUUGACGGGGGCCCGCACAAGCGGUGGAGCAUGUGGUUUAAUUCGAUGCAACGCGAAGAACCUUACCUGGUCUUGACAUCCACGGAAGUUUUCAGAGAUGAGAAUGUGCCUUCGGGAACCGUGAGACAGGUGCUGCAUGGCUGUCGUCAGCUCGUGUUGUGAAAUGUUGGGUUAAGUCCCGCAACGAGCGCAACCCUUAUCCUUUGUUGCCAGCGGUCCGGCCGGGAACUCAAAGGAGACUGCCAGUGAUAAACUGGAGGAAGGUGGGGAUGACGUCAAGUCAUCAUGGCCCUUACGACCAGGGCUACACACGUGCUACAAUGGCGCAUACAAAGAGAAGCGACCUCGCGAGAGCAAGCGGACCUCAUAAAGUGCGUCGUAGUCCGGAUUGGAGUCUGCAACUCGACUCCAUGAAGUCGGAAUCGCUAGUAAUCGUGGAUCAGAAUGCCACGGUGAAUACGUUCCCGGGCCUUGUACACACCGCCCGUCACACCAUGGGAGUGGGUUGCAAAAGAAGUAGGUAGCUUAACCUUCGGGAGGGCGCUUACCACUUUGUGAUUCAUGACUGGGGUGAAGUCGUAACAAGGUAACCGUAGGGGAACCUGCGGUUGGAUCACCUCCUUA
rnacentral:rRNA from 1 species